rnacentral:rRNA from 1 species
UGACUGACCGAUAGUGAACCAGUACCGUGAGGGAAAGGCGAAAAGAACCCCGGCGAGGGGAGUGAAAAAGAACCUGAAACCGUGUACGUACAAGCAGUGGGAGCACGCUUAGGCGUGUGACUGCGUACCUUUUGUAUAAUGGGUCAGCGACUUAUAUUCUGUAGCAAGGUUAACCGAAUAGGGGAGCCGAAGGGAAACCGAGUCUUAACUGGGCGUUAAGUUGCAGGGUAUAGACCCGAAACCCGGUGAUCUAGCCAUGGGCAGGUUGAAGGUUGGGUAACACUAACUGGAGGACCGAACCGACUAAUGUUGAAAAAUUAGCGGAUGACUUGUGGCUGGGGGUGAAAGGCCAAUCAAACCGGGAGAUAGCUGGUUCUCCCCGAAAGCUAUUUAGGUAGCGCCUCGUGAAUUCAUCUCCGGGGGUAGAGCACUGUUUCGGCAAGGGGGUCAUCCCGACUUACCAACCCGAUGCAAACUGCGAAUACCGGAGAAUGUUAUCACGGGAGACACACGGCGGGUGCUAACGUCCGUCGUGAAGAGGGAAACAACCCAGACCGCCAGCUAAGGUCCCAAAGUCAUGGUUAAGUGGGAAACGAUGUGGGAAGGCCCAGACAGCCAGGAUGUUGGCUUAGAAGCAGCCAUCAUUUAAAGAAAGCGUAAUAGCUCACUGGUCGAGUCGGCCUGCGCGGAAGAUGUAACGGGGCUAAACCAUGCACCGAAGCUGCGGCAGCGACGCUGAUGCGUUGUUGGGUAGGGGAGCGUUCUGUAAGCCUG